rnacentral:rRNA from 2 species
AAACCAACAGGGAUUGCCUUAGUAACGGCGAGUGAAGCGGCAAAAGCUCAAAUUUGAAAUCUGGCACCUUCGGUGUCCGAGUUGUAAUUUGAAGAAGGUAACUUUGGAGUUGGCUCUUGUCUAUGUUCCUUGGAACAGGACGUCACAGAGGGUGAGAAUCCCGUGCGAUGAGAUGCCCAAUUCUAUGUAAAGUGCUUUCGAAGAGUCGAGUUGUUUGGGAAUGCAGCUCUAAGUGGGUGGUAAAUUCCAUCUAAAGCUAAAUAUUGGCGAGAGACCGAUAGCGAACAAGUACAGUGAUGGAAAGAUGAAAAGAACUUUGAAAAGAGAGUGAAAAAGUACGUGAAAUUGUUGAAAGGGAAGGGCUUGAGAUCAGACUUGGUAUUUUGCGAUCCUUUCCUUCUUGGUUGGGUUCUCCGCAGCUUACUGGGCCAGCAUCGGUUUGGAUGGUAGGAUAAUGAUUAAGGAAUGUGGCUCUACUUCGGUGGAGUGUUAUAGCCUUGGUUGAUACUGCCUGUCUAGACCGAGGACUGCGUCUUUGACUAGGAUGCUGGCAUAAUGAUCUUAAGCCAC